rnacentral:rRNA from 1 species
GAUGAACGCUGGCGGCGUGCUUAACACAUGCAAGUCGAACGAAGUGUUUAUUCAAAGUUCUUCGGGAUCGAGAAUAAAUUACUUAGUGGCGGACGGGUGAGUAACGCGUGGGUAACCUGCCUCACACAGGGGGAUAACAGUUGGAAACGACUGCUAAUACCGCAUAAGACCACAGCACCGCAUGGUGCAGGGGUAAAAGAUUUAUCGGUGUGAGAUGGACCUGCGUCUGAUUAGAUAGUUGGUGGGGUAGAAGCCUACCAGGUCAACGAUCAGUAGCCGACCGGGGGGGGUGGUCGCCCACAUUGGGGGAGGGACACGGCCCAAAUCCCGGCGGGAGGGGGGAGUGGGGAAUAAGGGACAAUGGGGGAAACCCGAAGCCAGCAGCGCCGGGGAGGAGAAAAAGUUUUUCGGUAGGAAAAGCUCUUACGACAGGGAAGAAAAGGAGGGACCCUAAGAAAAAGCCCCCGGUAAACUCGGG